UUCAUCCCAGCUACCUGUCAGCUCGGUGGCAGCUCGGGGGCGGGGACGGCGGCUGCGGGACACGCUCCCGAAGGUCUUGCGCAGGCUCCGGGAUCGGGGAUUCCAGGACCCUGCAAGGCACCAGUGCUCCCAGACCUGCCAGUUCCAGCCUGUAGGACUGGCCUCAACAGCGAGACAGCCCAAGACUGCCAUGGAGCCCCAGCUGAUAACACCGACAAGACAAGGGCUCAAAGGACCCAUCACCUUGUCCCCUCCCUGGGGCUUUUCAGCAGCCUGGGUCCUGGGCCCCUGGCCCUGAGUGGCCUCCUCUGCCCCCGUGCUGCCUCUCCUGUGUCUGUCCAUCCAUCCAUCUCUAUACCACUGCUCUGGAUACUCUCUGCCUCCACCUCCGGCCAUCCCAGGGUCCUCCUCUGCCCCACGCAUUCUUCUUGGGUCCAAUUAAUUCUACUGAGGAGAGGUGGAAUUAUGUAAAAUGUGGUGAUUCCGUAAGGGAGGAGGGGAGGGCAGGGCGGUGGCAAAGUGGUUCUUUGUGCUUUUAAUCUGCAUUUUUUCCCUCAACGUUCCGUCUCCAGGAGGAUAAUUUUCCAGCCUUUUCAGGCCCUGAUUGGUAUCAUUUCUCCAGCAAUGACAGCUUUUAUUUUCCCUGAAAUGAAUGCCGUGAAAUUUCCAAGAAAUAUAAAAAUGGAUAUUGUCUCAGGGAGCCGACUCUCUUCCGACAGAAAGGCACAAAGCAAACAGGCUUCCCUGGGGACCCUGCUGUGCCAGCCACUAGGGGGUGGGGGACCUGAGCCCUCAGCCCCUCCUCCCUGCCAGGCCACCCUACCCGCCUGCCUCACUCCAUCUUGCCUGCUCUGUUCAGCACCGCACCCCCCACAGGACACCCAACCUCAGAGACUCCCAGGACAACCCAGCCCCUGAGCAAGGUGACCUCCUGACUGAGGAGCAAGAGAAUGACAGGACACAGCAGCACCCAGCCAAGCCCGGAGCCAGGCAACGGGAUGCCCAGCUUAGGGGCCAGGUAGGCAGGAGCUGGGGAGCAUCUGCCCCCAGAGCCGCCUUGGAGAGAGAAGGGCUGAGGGUGUGCAAGGAGCAGAGGGGAGGGGUGCGGGUCGGUCCUGAAACCCUCACUUCAGCCCCUUCCCUGACCGAAGACCAGAUCCCAGCCCACUCCUCCUGGGUGGGCAUCACCAGGUCUGGGUUCCGGGGAAGGGUUCGCGAAGACCGCCCACUCCCUGGGGACCACAGUGCUCGCACCAGUGACAUAUCUGUUGAGCCUUCACUAAGUGAGGGGCAAAAUGCUCCACUCCAAGGGGGCUGCCAACCUGAAGCCAGGCCUGGGUCAGCCUGGAGCCCAGCCGUGAUCAGAACCGUCGCGGCGCCCCUCUGGCCAGCAUGUAAGUGGGGAUAGACUGGGCCUGCCACUCCAGUGCACAGGCCUAGGAGCCCCUACCCCUGCCUGUGCUCUGCGAGAUGCCCCCCCCACCGCCUCCACCCUGCCCACCCAGCUCCCCCUCUCCACCACAGACAGCUCUGCAGUAUCUUCUGUGUCCUGGAAAACGCCCCCCAGCCAGCUUCCUGUCCUCUGCCCAGCCUCCCAGUGCUCACCCCAUCUAUUAUUCACAGCACAAAAUGG